AUCAGUAAGAAUUUAAUUUUGGUUCUGAUUGAACGUUUUUCAGUAGUUUUAAGACAUGCAAAUCGUUUGUUCUUAAUUUUUUUUGUAAAAAAUAAAAAGAACAAGGUGUACAGGUGAGUAAUAAUAAAUUAGAUACCUUAUAGACCUCUCAAAUAGAGGAUAGUUAUUGCUAUUAAAAAAAUAAGCAAAACAUAAAUUAGCUAUUUAUAAUAAAGGAAAUUUUCCACUAUAAGAAUUGAUUUAUUUUGUUUAAUGGUAGUUGGUAGAGUAAAAGCCUACCAAGCCUACGAUCAAUAGUCAAGUUUGAAAGAACCGCUGGCCACAUUGGGAAUGAGAAGUCCCAAAUUGCAUAAGCAAUCUGCAGUCAAGAAUAUUAGUCAAUGCUCGCAAGAGUGAACUAGCUAACUGAAAUCAUAAAAUCAUUUAAUAGAUGGUCUUUAUGAUAACGUAAAGGAAAAAAAUGAUGUUACUUUACUAAUAGUGUUGUCUAAAUUACUGGUGCCAGAAGACUCGGUAACGCCAGAAACGCAAACGUUAGUCGUCUUUAAAAGGCGUAAAGGGUGUGUAGGCAGCUUACAAAAGUUCCAUUUUUAGGUAGCUUUAUAUUAUUUAUAAUAUAAUUUAAAAAUGAAUGACUAUAAGCUAGAAUCAUAUUGAGGAUAAACCAAAUAAUACUUAGUGUAGGGAUGAAAUCCGUAGAUAUUAAGUGGAAUACUAAGGGUGAAAGCUUUUUAUCUAGAAAUGAUUGACGCUGAGAAACGAAGGUGAGAAUAGGAAAUAGGAUUAGAUACCCAGAUACCUCUCACUGUCAACGAUGAAUGGUAGUUUGUUAAUAAAAGAAUUGAUAGCGAUGCUAACGCGUUAACCAUUCCGCCUUGAGAGUACGGUUGCAAAACUGAAACCAAAAAAAUUAGUCGGUCUCGAAGCAAACGAAGUGAAGCAUGUUAUUUAAUACGAGAGUACGCGUAAAAUCUUACCAGUUCUUGUAUAUCCAAAAUCUAGCUUUAAGUUAUAUUUUGAGUAGUUUCUAUCGCUUGUUGCUGCUCGCCUAGUGCUCACUUUAGUGAGCAGCAAAUGCAAGCGAGAAAUUCGUUUACAGGUGUUGCAUGGCUGUCGUCAGUCCGUAUUGUGAAAAGUUAGGUUAACUCCACUAACGGACGCAAUCCCUGUUGUUAAUUUUUACUUAACAAUUUAUGUAUUUUAAAUAAAUUCAUUUGGGACUAAGACAAGUCGUUAUGGCCCUCAUGAACUGGGCUAUAGACGUGCUAUAAAAACUUUUACAAAAUGACGCAAAAAUCUAAAUAAAGAAAUAGCAAAUCAUUAAAGAAAGUUAAUAUUUUUAAUAGACGGAUUGUUGUCUGAAAUUCGACAACAUGAAGGAGGAAUUUCGAGUAAUCGUUGAUCAUUACGCAACGGUGAAGUUUAUAUUCGGGAUGAACUAACUGUCUGUCGCUGGGAAGAAGCUUGGAUAGAGAGAAACUACUAUGUAUAUAAUUAUAAUUAUAGCAAGUUUUAGUUAUCGAUUUAAUUUAAAACAGCUAAUAUUGUUUUAUAUUCUUAAUAUUAGUGAACUCUUCUGAGUAACAUCUCAAAAGUCAUAGCAAGGUAGCUGUACUGGAAAGUGCCGCUGGAUAAUAAAUAAA
rnacentral:rRNA from 1 species